ACUUUUAGUUGCCAUCAGGUUACGCUGGGCACUCUAAUAGAACUGCCUGUGAUAAACAGGAGGAAGGUGGGGAUGACGUCAAGUCCUCAUGGCCCUUACGGGUUGGGCUACACACGUGCUACAAUGGUAAGUACAAUGAGAUGCCGAACAGCGAUGUUUAGCCAAACUCAAAAACUUACCUCAGUUCGGAUUGCACUCUGCAACUCGAGUGCAUGAAGCUGGAAUCGCUAGUAAUCGUGGAUCAGCGUGCCACGGUGAAUACGUUCCCGGGUCUUGUACACACCGCCCGU
rnacentral:rRNA from 1 species